rnacentral:rRNA from 1 species
AUGGAUUCAACUGCAUCUGCUUCGGGCUCGUCCACGUCUGACCUCGAAGCGCUGAUGGAGGAAUUGGGCCUCAAGGAAGAUGAUCUGCAGGACGUCGUGGUGGAGGAUGGAGAACUGCCAAAGGAGGCGACACGCUGGAUUGCGAUCGCUAGGGUUCACACCGAAAAAACCUAUAGCCAAUACUGGUUCUACAGAGGCAUGAGGGUGGCGUGGGAUCUGGCGAAGGAAGUAAAGAUCAGGCCACUUGAGGAGAAUCUCUACACCUUCCAAUUCUCGUGCCUUGGGGAUUGGGAG